rnacentral:rRNA from 1 species
UAUCAUGCCCUUUAUGACUUGGGCUACACACGUGCUACAAUGGCAGGUACAGAGGGCAGCUAGACAGUGAUGUUAUGCGAACCUCAAAAAGCCUGUCCCAGUUCGGAUUGCACUCUGCAACUCGAGUGCAUGAAGUUGGAGUUGCUAGUAAUCGCAGAUCAGAAUGCUGCGGUGAAUGCGUUCCCGGGUCUUGUACACACCGCCCGUCACACCAUGGAAGUUGGCAAUACCCGAAGCCUGUGAGCGAACCAAUAGGGCGCCGAGUCGAAGGUAGGGUCAGUAACUGGGGUGAAGUCGUAACAAGGUAGCCGUAUCGGAA